UAACCUGCCUCAUACAGGGGGAUAACAGUUAGAAAUGGCUGCUAAUACCGCAUAAGCCCACAGGUCGGCAUCGACCAGAGGGAAAAGGAGCAAUCCGCUUUGAGAUGGCCUCGCGCCCGAUUAGCUAGUUGGUGAGGUAACGGCCCACCAAGGCAACGAUCGGUAGCCGGACUGAGAGGUUGAACGGCCACAUUGGGACUGAGACACGGCCCAGACUCCUACGGGAGGCAGCAGUGGGGAAUAUUGCACAAUGGGGGAAACCCUGAUGCAGCGACGCCGCGUGGAGGAAGAAGGUCUUCGGAUUGUAAACUCCUGUUGUUGAGGAAGAUAAUGACGGUACUCAACAAGGAAGUGACGGCUAACUACGUGCCAGCAGCCGCGGUAAAACGUAGGUCACAAGCGUUGUCCGGAAUUGCUGGGUGUAAAGGGAGCGCAGGCGGGAAGACAAGUUGGAAGUGAAAUCUAUGGGCUCAACCCAUAAACUGCUUUCAAAACUGUUUUUCUUGAGUAGUGCAGAGGUAGGCGGAAUUCCCGGUGUAGCGGUGGAAUGCGUAGAUAUCGGGAGGAACACCAGUGGC
rnacentral:rRNA from 1 species